ACGUUGAACGCUGUGAGGCAUGUCUAAGGCAUGCAAGUUGAACGAACAAUGAAGAAGCUUGCUUCUUCUGCGUGAGUGGCAAACGGGAGAGUAACGCAUUGGUCAUCUACCCUGUACACGUGAAUAACGCAGAGAAAUUUGUGCUAAUACACGAUAAUGAUGAGGGGACGCAAGUCAUUCUCAUUUAAAGCUCCGGCGGUACGGGAGGAGCCUAUGUACUAUCAGCUUGUUGGUGAGGUAAAAGCUCACCAAGGCUAUGACGGUUACCGGGCGUGAGAGCGUGACCCGGCUCACUGGGACUGAGACACUGCCCAGACUCCUACGGGGGGCUGCAGUCGAGAAUCUUCCACAAUGCACGAAAGUGUGAUGGAGCAAUGCCGCGUGUCGGAUGAAGGCCUUCGGGUCGUAAACGACUGUUCUGAGGGACGAAUUUGUGACGGUACCUCAGCAGAAAGGGGUUGCUAACUCUGUGCCAGCAGCAGCGGUAAUACAGAGACCCCGAGCGUUAACCGGAUUUAUUGGGCGUAAAGCGUGCGCAGGUGGUUUUGUAAGUCAUAUGUUAAAUCUUCAGGCUCAACCUGGAGGCUGCGUGUGAUACUGCAAGACUAGAGUAUGGGAGAGGUCGGCGGAAUGCCUAGUGUAGGGGUAAAAUCCGUUAAUAUUAGGUAGAACACCAAAAGCGAAGGCAGCCGACUGGAACAUUACUGACACUGAUGCACGAAAGCGUGGGUAGCGAAUGGGAUUAGAUACCCCAGUAGUCCACGCCGUAAACGAUGAGUGCUAGGUAUUGGGAGUAUCGACCCUCUCAGUGCCGUUGAAACAAGCUAACGCGUUAAGCACUCCGCCUGGGGAGUACGGUCGCAAGACUAAAACUCAAAGGAAUAGACGGGGACCUGCACAAGCGGUGGAUCAUGCGGUUUAAUUCGAUGAUACGCGAGAAACCUCACCCGGGUUUGACAUCUAGCUGUAGCUUCCUAGAGAUAGGAGCGUCCUCGAGAUCGCUAGACAGGUGCUGCAUGGUCGUCGUCAGCUCGUGCCGUGAGGUGUACCCUUAAGUGGGGUAACGAGCGCAACCCCUGUCGCGUGUUAUACUUUCACGCGAGACUGCCCACGCAAGUGGGAGGAAGGAGGGGACGACGUCAGAUCAGCAUGGCCCUUACAUCCGGGGCAACACGCAUGAUACAAUGGUUGGUACAACGGGCAGCCAAGCCGCGAGGCGGAGCAAAUCCCUUAAAGCCAAUCUCAGUUCGGAUAGUAGUCUGAAACUCGACUACUUGAAGUUGGAAUCGCUAGUAAAGGCGGAUCAUCACGCCGCCUUGAAUACGUUCUCAGGUCUUGCACUCACCGCCCGUGCAGGCGGAUUCGCGCCGCUACAUGGAGAGCUACUCGGGGNNNCNUUUUUUUU
rnacentral:rRNA from 1 species